UCUUGGUUGCUCGGUCUUUAGGAUUUUUAUCAUCAUUCCUAAAGCUCGGCUAGCAGGAUC
rnacentral:pre_miRNA from 1 species